rnacentral:lncRNA from 1 species
UAUUUUCCCACUUUCAUCACAUCAUACAAAUGUUUUAUUCUUGUUAGGGGUUUUUAAGGAUAGUGUGGGAUCUAAUCAAGGAAUGCGAUCAAUGGGUAAUAAUCCUCUGAUUCUUGGGAAAGAGAACAUGCAAACAUAUAUUUCAUUGUCUCUGUCUACUGAGAAAGUUAUGAAACCCUCCCAAACUGUUGAAAUAGGUAGGGUAUUUAGACUCUAUGUAUUAUUCAAUUUAUAGAAUUGAAUUUUAUUAUUAUAGUUCUUACCAAAUUAUGCAGUUGAUCCGAUCAUCUGUAUACACCAAUUGGGAACCCGCCAGACCUAUUACUUACUCGAUAUCACUAAAAGUGGCUCGUCUAUAAAUUACUUAAGCUACUUCACUGUAUCAUCUGUAUACACCAAGUGGGAAGCCUUCAGACCUAUAACUUACUCGAUUGCACUACUGGCGUUGGCUUACCUGGUGUCACUGCUGGUGUUAACUUUCCCCAGCUGGUACCUUUUGUUUUUCCCAUUUCAAUGUAAGUAACUAACCCUAUAUCACUACUAAUGUUACCUUUGUCUCCUAGUUAGGUCACGUCGUACGUACAAGGAGUUGAAACAAUUAAGUUUCUCAAACCAAGUGUCUACUAAGGUCUCUCUACCUAUGAAAGACGUAACAGCUGCUGUAAAAUGCCUGCCGUGUUCUGUGAAGGCUGCGGCUGCUACUCCCUGGCACAACCUAACUUUCCCCACCUGGUACCUUUUGUUUUUCCCAUUUCAAUGCAACUAACUUACCUAAUAUCACUACUAAUGUUACGUCUGUCUCCUGGUCAAAUCACGCCAUUCAUACAAGGAGUUAAGUAAGUCUCUCAAACCAAGUGUCUACUGAGGACUCUCUACCUGUGAAAGAUAUAACAGCUGCUGUAAAACUCCUACCGUGUUCUGUGAAGGCUGUGGCUGCUACUCUUGUCACUCCCUGUUUGACUAGUUGUAAAGUUAUGUUACCUAUGGCUGCAUCGUAAACCUGAAAAGUGGCUUGUCUAUAAAUUACUUAAGCUACUUCACUGUAUCAUCUGUAUGCACCAAUGGGGAAGCCUCCAGACCUAUAAGUUACUCGAUAUCACUGAAAAGUGGCUCGUCUAUAAUUUACUUAAGCUACUUCAUUGCAUCAUCUGUAUACACCAUGUGGGAAGCCUUCAGACCUAUAACUUACUCGAUAUCACUACUAGUGUUGGCUUACCUGGCGUCACUGCUGGUGUUAACUUUCCCCAGCUGGUACCUUUUGUUUUGCCCAUUUCAAUCAAGUAACUAACCCUAUAUCACUACUAAUGUUACCUCUAUCUCCUAGUGAGGUCACAUCAUACGUACAAGGAGUUGAAACAAUUAAGUCUCUCAAACCAAGUGUCUACUGAGGAAUCUCUACCUGUGAAAGACAUAACAGCUGCUGUAAAAUGCCUGCCGUGUUCUGUGAAGGCUGCGGCUGCUACUCCCUGGCACAACCUAACUUUCGCCACCUGGUACCUUUUGUUUUGCCCAUUUCAAUGCAACUAACCUAAUAUCACUAAUAAUAUUACAUCUGUCUCCUAGUGAGAUCACACCGUACGUACAAGGAGUUAAGUCUCUCAGACCAAGUUUUUACUGAGGACUCUAUACCUGUGAAAGACGUAACAGCUGCUGUAAAAUGCCUGCCGUGUUCUUUGAAGGCUGCGGCUGCUACUCUUGUCACUCCCUGUUUGACUAGUUGUAAUAGUUAUGUUACCUAUGGGUGCAUCAUAAACCUGAAAAGUGGCUUGUCUGUAAAUUACUUAAGCUACUUCACUGUAUCAUCUGUAUGCACUAAUUGGGAAGCCUCUAGACCUAUAACUUACCUGCUAUCACUACUGGCGUUGGUUUACCUGGUGUUAACUUUCCCCAGCUGAUAACUUUUAUUUUUCCCAUUUCAAUGCAAGUAACUAACCUGAUAUUACUACUAAUGUUAACUCGGACAUCUCUGAUCUCUGUACCAACCAUAUUAAUGACUUUAAAUGCAGGGUAGAAAAGAUCAUUUUUAGGAGUGAAACUAUAUGGU